rnacentral:pre_miRNA from 1 species
ACAAAGGAAUAAGUGAAGCUGCCAGCAUGAUCUAAACUUAGGUUAGAGAGGUUUUCUUUUCUUUUCUUUAAAAGAAGAACAAGAUGAAGAUGAAAGACUAACCCUAACUUGGAUUAGGUCAUGCUGUGACAGCCUCACUCAUUCCUAUU